UACAGACUCCUACGGGAGGCAGCAGUGGGGAAUAUUGCACAAUGGGGGGAACCCUGAUGCAGCGACGCCGCGUGAAGGAAGAAGUAUCUCGGUAUGUAAACUUCUAUCAGCAGGGAAGAAAGAGGACGGUACCUGACUAAGAAGCCCCGGCUAACUACGUGCCAGCAGCCGCGGUAAUACGUAGGGGGCAAGCGUUAUCCGGAUUCACUGGGCGUAAAGGGAGCGCAGGCGGCAUGGCAAGUCUGAUGUGAAAACCCGGGGCCCAACCCCGGGAGUGCAUUGGAAACUGCCAGGCUGGAGUGUCGGAGGGGUAAGCGGAAUUCCUAGUGUAGCGGUGAAAUGCGUAGAUAUUAGGAGGAACACCAGUGGCGAAGGCGGCUUACUGGACGACUACUGACGCUGAGGCUCGAAAGCGUGGGGAGCAAACAGGAUUAGAUACCCGAGUA
rnacentral:rRNA from 1 species